CCUACGGGGGGCAGCAGUGGGGAAUAUUGCACAAUGGGGGAAACCCUGAUGCAGCGACGCCGCGUGAGUGAAGAAGUAAUUCGUUAUGUAAAGCUCUAUCAGCAGGGAAGAAAAUGACGGUACCUGAGUCAGAAGCCCCGGCUAACUACGUGCCAGCAGCCGCGGUAAUACGUAGGGGGCAAGCGUUAUCCGGAUUUACUGGGUGUAAAGGGAGCGUAGACGGCAGUGCAAGUCUGGAGUGAAAGGCGGGGGCUCAACCCCCGGACUGCUCUGGAAACUGUACGGCUGGAGUGCAGGAGAGGUAAGUGGAAUUCCUAGUGUAGCGGUGAAAUGCGUAGAUAUUAGGAGGAACACCAGUGGCGAAGGCGGCUUACUGGACUGUAACUGACGUUGAGGCUCGAAAGCGUGGGGAGCAAUCAGGAUUAGAUACCCGAGUAGUC
rnacentral:rRNA from 1 species